rnacentral:rRNA from 1 species
UACGUAGGGGGCGAGCGUUGUCCGGAUUUAUUGGGCGUAAAGGGCUCGUAGGCGGUUUGUCGCGUCGGGAGUGAAAUCCACUGGCUUAACUGGUGGCUUGCUUUCGAUACGGGCAGACUGGAGGUAUGCAGGGGAGAGCGGAAUUCCUGGUGUAGCGGUGAAAUGCGCAGAUAUCAGGAGGAACACCGGUGGCGAAGGCGGUUCUCUGGGCAUGUCCUGACGCUGAGGAGCGAAAGUGUGGGGAGCGAACAGG